AAAUGUGACGUUUGGGAUCCAACAGCUGCCGACAAUAAAGAAUUUCGUUUAGUUUGAUGCGAAAUUUUAAUAAAUAUUUCCCAUAAACAGUGGACAUCUGUUGAUAAGAGAACAUGCGGUGUUAUGUUCCAAACUGUGAAAAUCGGGAAAUCCGCGGAAUGAUUCAGCCAAAUCUUUCCUUCCAUCGUGCGCCAAAGCAUCCGGCUAUACGAUGCCAGUGGUUUGUUUUCUGCGGUUUGGAAUACGAUUGUGUUAAAAAUUUGCGCAUUUGUUCUCAGCACUUCGAGGCCGAAGAUUACGAGCCUGAUCUACGUCGAGGAGAGGAUUUAGCAGCUAGGCGUAGACUUUUAGUCAAAAACGCCGUACCUUCAAUUUUUCUACCAAUUGUGAAGUCGAAAAUUCAGACUGACGAAAGAACCUCAACCAAAUUUAACUGAUGAAAGCAGCUUUUUCACGUCGAAAAAUGUCAAUCUUCUAUUUAACGAAGGAUACACUAAUGUAUAUAUCUGCAACAUCGAAACAUUUCUCAAUAUUCCUUGAGCAUAUGAAGUUGUAACAGUGUCAUGACUAAAUUUGUGCUACGAUUAUAUAAAUAGGAGAUAGGUAAUAAGUUUCGGUAUGAACCGCCAGCGAAGGUAUUCAGGUAAGCAUAUUUUUGUACAAUUAUUGCCUAUUUUAUCAUAUAGCGGAAUACAGACGGAAGUAUUUUGAACUCAA